GGCACAGGACCUGGUUCCCGGGAAGCGCUCAUGAAGGUCUGUUGGACAAAUCAUGGAAGCCGUGACCAGAAGAUGGAGGGAUGAACCAAGGAAGCUACAGCAAGAUGAUUUUCAGAAUGGGGGGAAGAAGAUCUGGGACUGGAGGACUCAGAGAGGUCGAAGCACACAAAGAACUGCUUCUUGUGGGCUUUAAAGAUGGAGGAAGGGAGCCGUGAGCCAAGGAAGGCAGUGAUUGUCCUAAUGAAGGCUUAAAAGUAUGGUAGCUGUGGAGUCUUAAAGUUGUACAGAGAGUCAACAUAUUAAUAGAAGAUUCUGCAAGUCAGUGUUGGACCCACUGAUGUGAAGUGGCAACUCGAGCUUCAGGCUACCUUGUGGCUGAUUCUGAUCCUUCAGGAAUGAAAAUGGUGGCUUCUAAACCCUCUUGCAGUUAAGCAUCUACAUAGUUUCCUGCAUAUAUGAAUCAAAUCUGUUCUGAAGGCCCCUCAAAGCAAAGAAUGUUCUUUCCUUUAUUACUAUGAGUACUUUUUUUCUUCUUUAAGAAGAAGAGAAAGAUUACUGAGAAAGAUUAUAAAAAAUUGAAAAUUAUUUUCAGGGAGUUAUUUUUGUACUUCAGGAGUAACAGGAGGUGGUUAAUUCUGAACAUUUAUCUGAAACUUUACACCAGCAUUGCCCUGGGCGAGUUUGCGAAUCUUCUUUUCUGACAUUGGGUCUGGCUGAGGAACUUCUGUUUGCCGGAUCAUGUGUGUGGUAACCGGUCCUUUGGGUCACCCUGGCAACUGCAGUCCCCUCGGUCCAGGCUACACUCAUGUUUUGCCAAUGAAAGGGACAAAAUGGAGGACCUCAACCUGAUGCUGAGAAGGAAGAAAGAAAAUGGGAGAGAAAUUUGAAAUCGAUUGAGCUGAUUGUACCCCUCUCCAAAAGGACUUCUGUUAGAACACGGAUGAUCUUAUUGGAAAUGGAGUAGUUGUUCCCUAUUCCAGAAAUAGAGUAAUAGAAUGUCGUGCUGUGGUGGUUUUGUGAUGAGAGGUAAAAUUGAGAAAUGCAGGUGUGAAAUGUUCAGAGUAAACAGGAUAUCCAGCUUCGGAAUCCUAAUUAUCCUUAUUUAUCCCAGUGAAGGAACUGUUGUCCAGGAGUAGCACGAGUGAUUUCACCCAGGAAAGUAUUGUGAAAAAUGCCUUAAAAAAGAAUUCUCAAUUUUGCAUGCCCCCAUGAUAUCUGUCCUCUUGCCUGAUAUGCAUCUGUUUUCUUUCUCUUUUUUACUUGGUCAGUGAAGCAAUAAUUACCUGAAGGACAGCAUUUUGAAGUUUAAGUGGAAAAUCUGAAAACAUAUACAUAAAUUAAAUAAUUUUCUUUUUCUUGAUAAUAGGGACAAAGGCGACAUACAUUUCAGUGCUGAGAGAGCAUAGUUCUACCUUCCACUUUCAUGUUUUGCCUUGUUAAUACAAAAUAGCACCCCUUGGAGGACCUAUUCCUAAUUCAGAGUUCAUUAAUCACUGAGCACGAGCCAUUCUUUCAGUCUAAGGAUGAAAGACAGCGGGUAUUCCUGAUUUUACACAGAGAAGGCCAUCUUUUGUAGAUUCUAAAAGAUCCCUUGCACCCAAAAGGACAAAAAGAAGAAGAAGAAACUCUGGAAGUCCGUGGGUCUCGUCAAACAGCAGUCUAAAAAUUUAUGUCAGCAUUAGAGGUUCAGACAUAUGCCCUCAGAAUUAGAGCUGCUGGUCAAAUGUUUAUUUACAAAGAGAACAACCUAAAAUAUUUGUAUAUGCCUGAUGUAGGCUCUGGUCUUUGCAUUAGCAGAAGGGCCAGCAGUAUUCUGUCAUCAGGGUAUUU